ACCCGACUGCUAUUGGAGUAGGACUAAGUCACGCUAGUUAAAGGUGCGGAAUGGAGCACCUAGCGCACGGCUCAGUAACACGUAGUCAAUCUGCCCUAAGGACGGGUACAACCACGGGAAACUGUGGAUAAUACCCGAUAGGAAAUUUGGCCUGGAACGGUAUCUUUCCGAAAACCGGCUAGCCGUUAGACACGGGCCUUAGGAUGGGGCUGCGGCCGAUUAUGCUAGAUGGUGGUGUAGAGGACCACCAUGGCGACGAUCGGUAUGGGCGAUGGAAGUCGGAGCCCAGAGUCGGCCACUGAGACAAGGGGCCGAGCCUUACGAGGCUUAGCGGUCGCGAAAACUCGCCAAUGCACGAAAGUGUGAGUGGGCUACUCCAAGUGUCAUUCUUACGGAUGACUGUCGCUCAGUAUUACAAGCUGAGAAAGGAAGGAGAGGGCAAGGCUGGUGCCAGCCGCCGCGGUAAAACCAGCUCUUCGAGUGGUCGGGACGUAUAUUGGGUCUAAAGCGCUCGUAGCCGGACAAGUAGGUUCCUGGUUAAACCCGACAGCAUAACUGUUGGCUCGCUGGGAAUACCGCUAGUCUUGGAAGCGGGAGAGGACAGAGGUAGUCAUGGGGCAGGGGUGAAAUCCAGUGAUCCCAUGGCGACCACCGAUGGCGAAGGCAUCUGUCUGGAACGUAUUCGACGGUGAGGAGCGAAAGCUAGGGGAGCGACCCGGAUUAGAUACCCGGUUAGUCCUAGCCGUAAACGAUGCGGACUAGGUGUUGCGGUGGCCAAGAGCCACUGCGGUGCCACAGCGAAGGCGUUAAGUCCGCCACCUGGGGAGUACGGAUGCAAGUCUGAAACUUAAAGGAAUUGACGGGGGCGCACCACCAGGAGUGAAGCCUGCGGUUUAAUUGGAUUCAACGCCGAAAAACUUACCUAAUCAGACGGCAGGAUGAAGCUCAAGCUAAUGACUUUAGCUAACUAGCCGAGAGGAAGUGCAUGGCCGUCGACAGUUCGUGCUGUGAAGUGUCCUGUUAAGUCAGGCAACGAACGAGAUCCACGUCUGCAAUUGCCAGCGGGUCCCUUAGGGAUGCCGGGAACCUUGCAGAGACUGCUUGGUGCUAAACCAGAGGAAGGAGUGGGCAACGGCAGGUCAGUAU
rnacentral:rRNA from 1 species